UACGGGGGGAGCAAGCGUUGUUCGGAUUUACUGGGCGUAAAGGGCGCGUAGGCGGCGCAACAAGUCACUUGUGAAAUCUCCGGGCUUAACCCGGAGCGGCCAAGUGAUACUGUCGUGCUAGAGUGCGGAAGGGGCUACUGGAAUUCUCGGUGUAGCGGUGAAAUGCGUAGAUAUCCGAAGGAACACCGGUGGCGAAAGCGGCGCGCUGGAUCUCUACUGACGCUGAGGCGCGAAAGCCAGGGGAGCAAACGGG
rnacentral:rRNA from 1 species